rnacentral:rRNA from 1 species
ACGAACGCUGGCGGCGUGCUUAACACUUGCAAGUCGAACGGAAAGGCCCUGCUUUUGUGGGGUGCUCGAGUGGCGAACGGGUGAGUAACACGUGAGUAACCUGCCCUUGACUUUGGGAUAACUUCAGGAAACUGGGGCUAAUACCGGAUAGGAGCUCCUGCUGCAUGGUGGGGGUUGGAAAGUUUCGGCGGUUGGGGAUGGACUCGCGGCUUAUCAGCUUGUUGGUGGGGUAGUGGCUUACCAAGGCUUUGACGGGUAGCCGGCCUGCGAGGGUGACCGGCCACAUUGGGACUGAGAUACGGCCCAGACUCCUACGGGAGGCAGCAGUGGGGAAUAUUGCACAAUGGGCGGAAGCCUGAUGCAGCAACGCCGCGUGCGGGAUGACGGCCUUCGGGUUGUAAACCGCUUUCGCCUGUGACGAAGCGUGAGUGGCGGUAAUGGGUAAAGAAGCACCGGCUAACUACGUG